GACGAACGCUGGCGGCGUGCCUAAUACAUGCAAGUUGAGCGCUGAAGGUUGGUACUUGUUUCUAUUGGAUGAGCAGCGGACGGGUGAGUAACGCGUGGGUAACCUGCCUUUGAGCGUGGGAUAACAUCUGGAAACCAAUGCUAAUACCGCAUAAAAUUUUUAACCACAUGUUUCAAGUUUGAAAGAUGCACUUGCUUCCCUUAAAGAUGAUCCCGCGUUUUAUUAGCUAGUUGGUUAGGUAAAGGCUCACCAAGGCGAUGAUUCAUAGCCGACCUGAGAGGGUGAUCGGCCACAUUGGAACUGAGACACGGCCCAGACUCCUACGGGAGGCAGCAGUAGGGAAUCUUCGGCAAUGGGCGAAAGUCUGACCGAGCAACGCCGCGUGAGUGAAGAAGGUCUUCGGAUCGUAAAACUCUGUUAGUAGGGAAGAACGUAGGUGAGAGUGAAAAGGUAAUCAAGUAAGGGUAAUAACCAAGAAAGGAAGGCCUAACUACGU
rnacentral:rRNA from 1 species